GUCACACUACGGGGCGUUUAAAGAUUUAAGGAAAGAGAUUAACUAUCUCGACUCUGCAAUUCUUCUUUAUUUUUAUAUUUUGGUAUUGAAAUUUUAGUUUAUGUUCUUAUUAUUCUUUACAAAUAUCAGUUGUCCUAUGGUAGUAAAAUAAGGUUCCUACACUUCACUAGGAACCUAGGUUCACAGCGAGGCAUCUGAACGACACAGUGGCAGACCACUCUCAAACUUAAUUUGAGGCGUCCACUAAGACUUAUGCGAAUAUCAUGAUCUCAUCUGAGAAUUUGGAGUUUAUAAACGUUUCCUAAGAACUUUGAUAAUUUUUUUUUUUUUUUUUGAAACACAACUUUGAUAAUAUUUUAUAAUACUUUUUCCAAAGUUUAGGGGCUUGUAUCUUUGUAUGUAAUCUCUAAAAAUGUUGGAGAUCAAAACCAAUGUUCCACAAGGAUGUGUCCAAAUUAAAUUCGGCUCUAGCGAACAUUCCUACCACUUAUGUGAGAUAUAUGCCACAUGGGUAAUCGCAUCGCAUCUGAACCAAAAGGAUGUAACUGGUAAUGAUCUAAAUAAAGACAGAAUUCAGUUUAAUUCUGAGUUCAAAUGCACAUAUACAGCAUUGCGACAAUUCAAGUGCACAAGAGGAUAGCCUUAUCC
rnacentral:lncRNA from 1 species